rnacentral:rRNA from 1 species
GAUGAACGCUGGCGGCGUGCCUAAUACAUGCAAGUCGAGCGAACAGACGAGGAGCUUGCUCCUCUGACGUUAGCGGCGGACGGGUGAGUAACACGUGAAUAACCUACCUAUAAGACUGGGAUAACUUCGGGAAACCGGAGCUAAUACCGGAUAAUAUAUUGAACCGCAUGGUUCAAUAGUGAAAGACGGUUUUGCUGUCACUUAUAGAUGGAUCCGCGCCGCAUUAGCUAGUUGGUAAGGUAACGGCUUACCAAGGCAACGAUGCGUAGCCGACCUGAGAGGGUGAUCGGCCACACUGGAACUGGGACACGGUCCAGACUCCUACGGGAGGCAGCAGUAGGGAAUCUUCCGCAAUGGGCGAAAGCCUGACGGAGCAACGCCGCGUGAGUGAUGAAGGUCUUCGGAUCGUAAAACUCUGUUAUUAGGGAAGAACAAAUGUGUAAGUAACUAUGCACGUCUUGACGGUACCUAAUCAGAAAGCCCCGGCUAACUACGUG